rnacentral:lncRNA from 1 species
GCGGCAGCGGCGGGCGCGAGCGGCAGCUGUCAGGCCACCGAGGUCCAAGCCGCACUUGCUGCCCCAUUGAGGACGAGGAGGCAGCAGGAGCAGUGACGGUGACUCUAAGGAGCCGGAUUCCCGGCACGCAGAGCUGACCUGCCUGGCACCCGCGGCCCUCUCCUGUUUCCUUCCCAUUGUGUUGGAUAAGCCAGCUGCAGAAUAUAUCCUGAGGUACCUGCUUUAUGGAAUUAUUCACACUAUUCACCAACAGGAAGAAUAAAGUCAAUCAAUUCAAGGAGUCUCAGAACAGGAGCACAUAGACACCAAACUUUGUGGGACAACAAAUAUAAUGAAGAGUAUGUUUGCGUCUUUCAAACAAAGCCACGUGAAGUCAAGGCCCUUAACACCCACCCCUCCCACAUACUGAGGGGAGAAUUCAGAUGCCCACUGGAGUCAGCCGAUCAGACUGCCUUUUGCACACUCCUUGCCUCCACUCCAGUUUACCGUGGAAGACCUGUCUGCUAUGGCUGAAUCUGAGAGAGAUCCUUGAGUAACGAAUUAAGGAAUGAACAAAUGUUGCUCUGGACAAAGCUGCAGCUUCCACGUCCUGCAUAACUGCACUCAGUACUGACCCUGAAGAUAGGAAAAGCAAUACAACUGGUGCUAGAAAUGUUAUGAGAAUGACUUGGAUGAGCUGAAAAAUGAAUGAUCUCCUUGAACAAGGCUUGCCUGGAAUUUCGCUUUGCUGCAGAGACAUCUGGAAAUGUGGAUUGAGGGUGGAAAUAAAAUGAAGAUGUCCUGGAAACUUCCAACUGAUCCUUGGGUCUAAUUGGUGUGGGAUAUGCAGCACAAGCGUGAGAAGCCAUGAAGUGAGAGCCCCAACAGGGGCUCAGAGUCAAAAACCUAGAUAUUAGCUCCCAAAGUCCUUCCGAAUCUGCUCCAGCUCCCCACAUCACUCCUAGCUGCCCUUGGCCCUCUCCACCUUUCCCCUCCCGAUUCCUUGGAAAAUAAG